rnacentral:rRNA from 1 species
UACGUAGGUGGCAAGCGUUGUCCGGAAUUAUUGGGCGUAAAGCGCACGCAGGCGGCCUUUUAAGUCUGAUGUGAAAGCCCACGGCUCAACCGUGGAAGGUCAUUGGAAACUGGAAGGCUUGAGUACAGAAGAGGAAAGCGGAAUUCCACGUGUAGCGGUGAAAUGCGUAGAGAUGUGGAGGAACACCAGUGGCGAAGGCGGCUUUCUGGUCUGUAACUGACGCUGAGGCGCGAAAGCGUGGGGAGCAAACAGG